rnacentral:lncRNA from 1 species
GAAAGCGCAGCUUUUAAAGGGCUGAAACCAACCGGCCGUAGCUGGAGGGGAUUCAGCUGUCCCGCAGAGGAACACAGCCCCGCUGUGCGACGUUUGCUGCAGAGGUAUCAGAGUUUAAGAGUAUUUUUCCUGGCUGUACUCCGACAGCCUGUUCCUGUGCUGGCCCCGCAGGAGCCAGGCAGGGAACUGGGGCAUCACUGGAAAAGAAGUAAAGCGUUACCUGGAAGACCAGAGCCCUACACCUCCAUGGCUUACAGGCUCCUCAGAAGUCACUGCUAAAGGGCAUGAAAGCCUACCACAACUUCCACGUGGUAAGUAAAACAUAAUGAGGGGAGACUAUAGCAGGAACCAGAGUACUCAGGAAAGUGUCACUGGAUUGGUAGCACUCCGACCUUGUGGCAAAAACAUUUGAGCAUCUAGCUUCUGUUUGUACAGAUUCAGUAGUAAUAAUUUAAUUGUGUGACUUAGUCACACAAAGAGUUUGUUGAACACUCUUAGUCAUUAACAAAAAGAAAAGCAAAUACCAGGGGAAAUACUCUUUGAAAAACCCUUUCCUUUAAUCAGCUACUUUACACAAUCUCUUCCAGGUGUGGACCUAAUACAGGUAGAGGGUAUUUUUGUUGUUUUCAAUUUGCAGUUCUGGCAACAUUUCUUUUUCAGGUUUGGAGUAAAAAUAAUUGAAACAAUACUAUCAAAAAAUGGAAGAAAUCUAACUAGAAUUGACAAAAGCACUAGCUGACCAGUCUUUUCGGUAGCCAGGAGCACAGCUGUGGACAUGACCAGACUUUUCCUGAGCACAAGGCCCAGGUGAGGACAGUGGCUGCCAAGCCCA